GCCCAAGGUCACAGAAAGCAAAUAGCGGAGCUGGGAUUAGAACCUACGAACUUCAGACUCCCCGGCCAGAAUUCUGUCCACUACAACAUGCGUACCCAUUUCUUCUGAUGAGUGGCCAUUGAUUGGAGUAUCCGAGCUAGGAACUAGCAUGGGAAGCGGCAUGGUCUAGCGGAAAGAGUUCUACGGACAGGAAGCGCGGUAUUGUAUAUGGUGCUCCCUUGAAGAGAACUCUUGCUUCGGCCACCAUGCAGCCAGAGAAGAGGAUCCAAAAGGUAAG